GACGACGCUGGCGGCGUGCCUGACACAUGCAAGUCGGACGGUUCUUGUAUCUUCAAGCUUGCUUGCAGGUGCAAGGAUAGUGGCGGACGGGUGAGUAACGCGUGAACAUCUACCCAUUGGAGGGGGACAACCCGUCGAAAGGCGGGCUAAUACCGCGUAAGCCGCGAGGUGAGAGGCUGCCUAUUGGUGGCCGCCGAUGGAUGGGUUCGCGUCCUAUCAGCUGGUUGGUGGGGUAACGGCCUACCAAGGCGAAGACGGGUAGCCGGUCUGAGAGGAUGGCCGGCCACACUGGAACUGAGACACGGUCCAGACUCCUACGGGAGGCAGCAGUGGGGAAUAUUGGGCAAUGGGGGAGACCCUGACCCAGCGACGCCGCGUGAGGGAUGAAGGUUUUCGGAUCGUAAACCUCUGUUGUACGGGAAGAAGGAUGUGACGGUACCGUACGAGAAAGCCCCGGCAAACUACGUG
rnacentral:rRNA from 1 species